GCGAACGGGUGAGUAACACGUGGGCAAUCUGCCCUUCACUCUGGGACAAGCCCUGGAAACGGGGUCUAAUACCGGAUAACACUUCCACUCGCAUGGGUGGAGGUUAAAAGCUCCGGCGGUGAAGGAUGAGCCCGCGGCCUAUCAGCUUGUUGGUGAGGUAAUGGCUCACCAAGGCGACGACGGGUAGCCGGCCUGAGAGGGCGACCGGCCACACUGGGACUGAGACACGGCCCAGACUCCUACGGGAGGCAGCAGUGGGGAAUAUUGCACAAUGGGCGAAAGCCUGAUGCAGCGACGCCGCGUGAGGGAUGACGGCCUUCGGGUUGUAAACCUCUUUCAGCAGGGAAGAAGCGAAAGUGACGGUACCUGCAGAAGAAGCGCCGGCUAACUACGUGCCAGCAGCCGCGGUAAUACGUAGGGCGCAAGCGUUGUCCGGAAUUAUUGGGCGUAAAGAGCUCGUAGGCGGUCUGUCGCGUCGGAUGUGAAAGCCCGGGGCUUAACCCCGGGUCUGCAUUCGAUACGGGCAGACUAGAGUGUGGUAGGGGAGAUCGGAAUUCCUGGUGUAGCGGUGAAAUGCGCAGAUAUCAGGAGGAACACCGGUGGCGAAGGCGGAUCUCUGGGCCAUUACUGACGCUGAGGAGCGAAAGCGUGGGGAGCGAACAGGAUUAGAUACCCUGGUAGUCCA
rnacentral:rRNA from 1 species